UGUUCGCGAAAAGUGAAAGCAUGUCAUUCUAACAGUUGCACCCGCUACACCCAGUUUGUAUAAAUAGGUCAGUGUCUGUUCGUUGCCUGACGCCACACAGCAGUACUCCUGCAAUGCAACUGCGGCCCGUGAACAGAUAAUCUUGCCCAGAUAUUCAAGUAGUCUUCUAUGUCGUGUAACAGGUCUAAUCCAGUUGGAUAUAUCUGCAUGUGUGUUUGUGUUUUAUGUGUUCGGUCAGCUGUGAGCUGUUAUUCGCGAUAAUUUGGACCAUAUUGCCAAGCCUUGGAUUUAACAAGUACAGUUGUCUAGAGCUCAUAAUCAGUGGAUUACCCGGACAUUGCGUGUGGUAUAAUGCAGUGACGGCCACACUGAUCACCCCCCACCCUGGCAGCUCGAGCACUGCUGGUGAUGUUGGGCGGGGCCUCGGUGGCAGCUCUGGCCGGAACACAGAUGAUAUUUUGAUCAUCCAGCAGACUCUCGUGUGUACACUGAACUGUUCGGUUGUGAGGGGACGCUGAUGCCAUGGAAGAACUGAAAAUAAGAUCAGAGGUUUUGCAUGACGACCACACUGACCACCCCCCACCCUGGCAGCUCGAGCACUGCUGGUGUUGUUGGGCGGGGCCUCGGUGGCAGCUCUGGGUGGAACACACAUGAUAUUUUGAUCAUCCAGCAGGCUCACGUGUGUACACGGAAUUGCUCGGUUUUGAGCGGACGCUGCAAAUACGAUCAGAGGUUUUGCAGUAUUUUACAAGUAAAUUCAAUCGGGUGUUAGCAGACAACGUCAGUGACGGAUAUAAUAAGGACCAUGGAUGAAUAUAAGGUAGUUUCUUUUUUAAACAACCAAGCACACAUGGGCAAGUCUAUGAAUAUUUACUGCAUGUGUCUUCUGUUUCUAUCAACAUCAAAUUUGAGUCAAAGACUUGCUCAUGUUCAAAUGCUGGUAAAACGCUUCCCAAAAACCUCAAUAUAUUUUCAACGCAUCAAUACCUCACCAAUACGUGUUGCUGUAAGUCCAUUAAGAACGAAAAGAACUUUUCCAUAAUCAUAUGAAAUAUGUGUUGAAGGCAGUAUCAAUUGUAUGAUCCUGGCAAUAUCAUAAGCAUCAGCAUCAGAUUCUGAUGAUACCAGGUGUUCACGAAAAGGUGAACGUGUCCUUCCCCAACGGUGGCAACCGUCACAAACACAUGCAAAGGAAAGACAAGAGUUCACGUAAAGAAACACGGGAAUAAGACAGGGAAUUGCGUCAGGCAUCUAAAGCAGGUCAAGUGACGGGGGUGUUUCUCUGGUUGCGGGGUAUUUCUUGAGUUAAUGCUUCAAAACAAGUCAUUUUAAAUGAAACGGAGACAAACAAUUGUAUUUUUUCUACACCCAAUAUUUUCCCGACAUCCAGGAUGUCUGAUUGUUGCCUGAUA